rnacentral:lncRNA from 1 species
UGUCAGGUCCUAAAAAAUGAAGUAUUGUUCCACCUCGUUAGUUACUGAACAAUUUGUAAUCGUUUUUAACUUCAUUAAAUUAAAUUUUACAUAGUUAUAUAAAUAGUUAUUUUAACUAUUUAAUAUAUGAAACAAAAGAUAAAACUACACAUAAUUCAGAUUCAAUCUAAUCUUUACUUUCAAACGUAGCUAUAUCAGCCAAUAAUUAUCUGGGAUUGGCUUUGAAAUGUCUAAUAAAAUCCUAAACUUGAAAUGUCUAACAAAAAAAUUUCUAUUCCUCGCCAGACGACAUUACAAUGAAAGGGCCAGACCCUCUUCCAUGAUUCAUAAAAAGAAGAAACAGAAACUCAGGCGAUAGGCCAAAGCCGAAACCCAGUUUUGGUCGACUCCCACUAAAAAAUUCUGGUUGUUUUCUUGGAUUCAUCUGUUGAAAUAUAUAAACAAAACAAAUACUUAAUUCUAAAUUUCAAAAAGGAAAAAAACAAGAUGGGAAAAUGAAAAGGAGUCAAGACUCAGAGAGACGGACCAGUCUCCAUCAAAAGUUGGAUUGCAAACUUUCAGAAUAGUUACAACAGAAAUUCCAGUUCAGCUCGCUUCAACACAGAUGUAACCCUCUCAAAAAAGGCAGGUUCCUUUUCCUUGAUAUCGUCAAGUGUCCUUGACUCAUGUUCAUCUGCCUGCAGAGAACAAAAGCAAAUGCUAUGCUAGUUGGUCUUUGGAAAUCUAGAAAAAUAAUUAAGUGCAAAAUAAAUACCAUCCUCUCAUCAGGGGUACAUUUGAUAACUUAGAAGCCCCUUGGGUUUUAGCCUUUAGGGGAAGGGAAGAAUAUACAGAACCCCGUCACUGACUACAAGAUGCUCUCUUUCUCUAUUUAUUUCCUAAGAUACUCC